AUGAAGGAAGCUCGUGUUGAAGCCCAGGGCACUCGCCAGGAGAUCCAAGAGGCGAGACAGAUAGCGGCUGGCACAUUUGCGGAUCUGUCGAGGAGUAUUGCUGACGCCGCCGAGUUCUUCCACGCCGAAGAGGGGAGCUCAACGAAGAAGCUAUUCUGGUCGCAGUACCUUGCACCAAAGUAUCCGGCGCCCCUCAGCGAUCAGCUGAAGCAGCUAACGGAGUUGCAUAGGGUGGCCCGACUAGCCAUGAAAGACGUGAUAGUCCGUCUUUGGCCAGCCGAGCCCAUACCCAGCAGCUACUUUGGACUUGUGAAGCGGCUGGUCAAGGCGCGUGUUGCUCAAAACGCUUUUGGAGCCCCGGUUCUAAGUUGUAAAGCAUGCCGCACCGGACGAGGGAGUAAUCAUCAGCACGAGACUGCCAAGCGUUCACAACGUCUUGGUUCUCUGGGGUGGGAGCUUCACCUAGCAGUGCUUCUAAGACAUAAUCUUUCUUUGCAGCUAUGA
rnacentral:rRNA from 1 species